ensembl:lncRNA
UAAAGUGAAAACUAGUAUGUUUUGAUUUGCAUUGUGACGCUAAUAGUUGCCAUGCAAUUGGUUCCAUCUGGAAACAGAGAGGCUUUAUUACAUCAGGGAGAAAGCAGAUAGCUCAUGCAGAGAUUAUCACAGAGUUACUGGCUACUAUUACAAAACCAAAAGAAUUGGCUGUAAUAUACUCGGGCCCCCUUCAAGAGAGGGAUCAGAUCGAGUUGGCUGGGGUCACGUGAAGAGGCCUCAAUAAAAAGGAGCUGAGCUGGGAGUUCCGAGUCCUGGCCCUAUAGGCUCCCUGGGGCACAUAGUUUCUCCUGACCAUCUAGCAGAUGUUCUUUGGGCUGCCUGAUAUGGGUUGAAUUGGACAGAAAAAUUCCUCUUCCAUGCCUUUAGGGAGCUCCCAACUUCCAAAGACGGGGAACACUAGCACUCACACGCCACGAGCUCUUUCACGCUCCACACGGGGAUGUGCAUCUAUCCACAGACACAGGCGACCAGUCAUCUGGAACAACGUUGUGUAUCUUCAAAUAGAAAUGGGACCACAAGCCUGAUCGCAGGGAUCCCUCUGACGUACACAUUGAUUGAGUUUUCAGAUGUGCUAUCAUAUGGGCUUUAGUGUGUUUUUACUUUGUUUGUUAACGGUUCCCCAAUGACCUUUUACUUUGGUUUGGCCACACCUGGGAGUGCUGCGUGUAGCCUGGGGGUCACAUGUCAGGUACUUGGAUUUAGAAGCCUUGUUGGAUGUGCAGUUUACUGCCUAAACCUUCCCAUAUGGGGGGUGGGGGGAGGGAUCAAUGCCACCCUUUGGGACCAGAGUGAGGAAGCUCGAAUAGCAUUGAAAAAGGAAGAGAAACAGCCACAAGAGCCUGCAGAGGCAAUAAUACAAGUGAAAAACCAAAGAUGCUACCUGGACACUGACCAUAAUCACGAGUCACUGUAGUCUUCUCCUGUUUACUGAUUCACAUUAUGGGAGAACUUGCAUGGAGAGAACUCUGCCUAUCUCUACCCUGGGAUGCUUCAGAGACGGGCUACAUCGGCGAGCAGAUCAUUUCGAGAAUCUACCGCACCUUCCAUGUACACCAGCCUGGCCCCCUCCGCUCAUGGUCCAGGGCGGAUUCACGGCGACCACUGAGGCUCUUUGCAGGUGAUGCACUGCAUGCUCCACCCCUCCACUCCUCACCUCCCAACCACAGAAGAGGAAAGAAAGUUCUCACCGCCAAAGGCCAACGUCAGAAGACUCAAUAUUCCUGGAAAUGCUUCCAAGGAAGACGUUAGCUCCUCCCUUUAGUGGAAAGAAAGCUUUGGAGAAUACAGCCUGCCUAUUUGUAUUCCCAGGAUGCAGGCUGGUACCAAUGAGUAAGCCUAUUAAUUAAUCAGUUAACCAGUCAACUAAUUCUGACUCCAUUAUUACUUUUUCUUACAGUUUUUUUUUAACACUUGCCUGUAAGUCUUAGAGUCAAUUCUAAGUAUCAGUUCCAAGGCAGAAGAGCAGUAAGGGCCAAGUUACUGGGGUGAAGUGACUUGCCCAGGGUCACAUAGCUAGGAAGUGUCUGAAACCAGAUUUGAACUUUAGACCUCCUGUCUCCAGGUCUGGCUCUCUAUCCACUGAGCCACCUACCUGCCCUUUCUUUUUUUUUUCCUUUUUAUUAAAACCCUUACCUUCCAUCUUGGAGUCAAUACUCUGUAUUGGCUCCAAGGCAGAAGAGUGGUAAGGGCUAGGCAAUGGGGGUUAAGUGACUUGCCCAGGGUCACCCAGCUGGGAAGUGUCUGAGGCCAGAUUUGAACCCAGGACCUCCUGUCUCUAGGCCUGGCUCUCCAUCCACUGAGCCACCCAGCUGCCCCCUUACCUGCCCUUUCUUAUAGUUUUUAAAAGAUUUUUUUUAAAGCCUGUUUGCUGCUCCAAUCAGUUAAUGCUCCAUUCAGUUUUGUCUGUGACAUGCUGCUGCUUUUCUUUGCUACUUUUCCUUCCUACUUGUUUCCUGGUGUUCUCCUCUCUUUUAAACACCGCUUUCUCCAAUUCUAGGACAUCGUAUUAGCCUUUCAAUCUAAUUUAACAAAGAGUUGCCUGAUGGGGCGGCGCAUGGAAAUCCUGCCUGCCUUAGGAGACAUUGACGUUGACGUGCUGGCCCUGGUGGCUUUGCCCCGUGCCCAUAAUGGACCACCCGCUCGCUGCACUCGCUGCCUUUAGAAAGGCCGAUAUUUCAGGCCGGGACUCCUCCCCCACAGGCAAUGAAGGCAGCUCCCUUGAACUUGGACGGUGGGUUUUUGAAGUGAAGAAACCUUCUUUAAGAAGGAGACAUUCACAAAUACUCUGGUCUUAAUCCCUGCACUGCACAUCACAAUUCCUAAGUGGCAGGAACUUAAUCAGUGGUGACGGCAAGUGAACGAGAGCCACCCUCUCCAUUUGCCCCCUUUCUUCUUCGGGCUCAGUUUAAGAAGAUUUCCAGGAGAAAUAAAGGCUCCAGAGAGAGGAGGGAGGCA